AUUGAACGCUGGCGGCAGGCCUAACACAUGCAAGUCGAACGAGUGGCGGACGGGUGAGUAAUGUCUGGGAAACUGCCUGAUGGAGGGGGAUAACUGCUGGAAACGGUAGCUAAUACCGCAUAACAUCCGAUGUGCCCAGAUGGGAGUAGCUAGUAGGUGGGGUAAAGGCUCACCAAGGCGACGAUCCCUAGCUGGUCUGAGAGGGUGACCAGCCACACUGGAACUGAGACACGGUCCAGACUCCUACGGGAGGCAGCAGUGGGGAAUAUUGCACAAUGGGCGCAAGCCUGAGACAGCCACGCCGCGUGUAUGAAGAAGGCCUUCGGGUUGUAAAGUACUUUCAUCGGGGAGGCGUUACCCGAAGAAGAAGCACCGGCUAACUCCGUGCCAGCAGCCGCGGUAAUUC
rnacentral:rRNA from 1 species